CAGCGAAUGGAGUUGUUGAGCUGGGUUCAACUGAGGUGAUUUAUCAGAGCUCGGAUCUGAUGAACAAGGUUAGGGUUUUGUUUAAUUUCAGUAAUCUAGAGGUGGGUUCAUGGCCGAUUGGAACGAAUCCUGACCAGGGUGAGAAUGAUCCAUCAUCGCUGUGGAUCAGUGAUCCAUCGCAGAGUGGGAUUGAAAUGAAGGAUGGAAAUAG
rnacentral:misc_RNA from 1 species